rnacentral:rRNA from 1 species
GUAUAAGCACUUUAUACUGUGAAACUGCGAAUGGCUCAUUAAAUCAGUUAUCGUUUAUUUGAUAGUACCUUACUACAUGGAUACCUGUGGUAAUUCUAGAGCUAAUACAUGCUAAAAACCUCGACUUCGGAAGGGGUGUAUUUAUUAGAUAAAAAACCAACGCCCUUCGGGGCUCCUUGGUGAAUCAUAAUAACUAAGCGAAUCGCAUGGCCUUGCGCCGGCGAUGGUUCAUUCAAAUUUCUGCCCUAUCAACUUUCGAUGGUAGGAUAGUGGCCUACCAUGGUGGCAACGGGUAACGGGGAAUUAGGGUUCGAUUCCGGAGAGGGAGCCUGAGAAACGGCUACCACAUCCAAGGAAGGCAGCAGGCGCGCAAAUUACCCAAUCCCGACACGGGGAGGUAGUGACAAUAAAUACUGAUACGGGGCUCUUUUGGGUCUCGUAAUUGGAAUGAGUACAAUCUAAAUCCCUUAACGAGGAACAAUUGGAGGGCAAGUCUGGGCCCGG